UAAUCUCAUCUCGUUCAAUCAUUUACAAAUCUCAUGCUUAGUAAUUUAAUAUCUUGAAUUAAAUUCUAAGCUCAUUUAUCAAAAGUAUAAACUAUAUACUCAUUCAAUUUAUGAAACAACAUUACAUUUUCUUAGUCAUGUAUAUAAAUAAUAUAAAAUGAAGCCAUUUAAUAAGACAUUUUAAUUCCAUUAUAAUGGAAUUAUUCAUAAAACAAUCUAUUUCAUUUGAAAGAAUCCAUAUUAAUAAGUCCUUGAAAAUAAUUUAUUUAAUCAUAUCUUAAGGGCCUAGCCUAAAUAUUUUAUUUAAAAGUCCAUACAUUUCGUUUAAUGAAGUGGGCUCAAUUUAAUAUAUAAAUUAAAAGACCCAACAUAAAAUUGAAUCACUCAAGCCCAUCAAAUUCAAUUAAGAGCCCAAUCAAAUAAAAUAUAAGGCCCAAACAAUUAAAUAAAUAAGCCCAUCAGAUUUCUUCCUAAUAACAAAGUCCAAGGCCCAAACCCAUUUUAAUUAAAGAAGGGCCCAAGCCCAAUCUCCCCCUUUAACCUAAUUAACACACACUAUACUCAUUCAGCACACACACGCACACAAUGCGCCGCACCUUCUCUCUCGGCCGGCUCUCUGCCGCCGCCGCUCAACGGCGGCGUCGGCUGCCUCCACCUCCCCUCUCUCAACGUCUCUCUCUCGCUCAUCCCUCCCGAUCCCUCUCUGUCUCUGCCGGAAACAGGCGGCAGACGCCACCGCCGCCUGCCCCCUUCUCCCUCUGUCCCACUGAAAUCAUCUAACUUCUUCCCUCUCUCUCCGAUUCGGCCUGAACGGAGACAACGGCGACAUCGCCGCCGCCACGUGACCGCUGGCGACGACGACGAGCCACCGCGACCUGAUUUCGCCAGAUCGGAGGCAACGGCAGUUUCACCGCCGCCGGCGACGAGCCUCCGCGGCUGCCGCCUCCCUGACUCCAUCACUCACACACACAUAACAGGGCUCAGCCCGAUUUCCAGUCAAGGAGAUAUAAAAAAAUAGGGUUUUUUUGCUGAGUUCAAUUUCAAGACUGUAAACGUUCUUCAUUUAUAAUUUGUACUAACACAUUGUAUACUGUAAUUUCAGUUUGAACAAGCUUAAACAUAGAACAUGAAUAUCAAAUAAUUGUGUGUGUUUGGGAUC